rnacentral:hammerhead_ribozyme from 1 species
AUCCAUCUAACGAGUCGAAAAUAGGACGAAACGCGAGUUCUGGAU